AUUGUUCAUACUGGCAGCAGCGUCUGUCAAGGGAAAAGUAUCUGUUCAGGGCUUUAAGGAAAACCUUCUCCACAGAAAGGCAAAAUUUAAACUGACAAGAGAAAAACCUCUAAAAGCUAAAGGAUAUUGCAUCAAACUAAACAAGCAUCAUGGGACGAGGUGAGAGUGAGGGGUGGGAGGAAGAGCCUAAGACAACUCAACCCCAGAGUCAUGGGGACAACAAGGAAAAAAGUUCCAAGGGUGGAGGCUGUCCAAAGUGCUGCUUGAAGACCAGGGACUGUCUGAUGAGCCCAGAAUGUGGCAGAGCACUGCAGAUCUCCAGUGUUGUCGCCUUCUGCGGAAUGUGUAUCCGUGCAUGGACGUAAUCACCAAGGCCUUCGGGACUUCUAUGAACUAUGAAGAAUCUUUCAAUCUUCUGAUUGAAAUAUUUUAGUGUACUCUGAAAUGAAAAAAUGUUUAAUUUUACUCUUUACUUAGUUUUUCUUAACUUCAGUAAAUAUUUAAUAUAAAAGAUAAGUUAGCAGUAUUUUAAACAGAUAGGCCAGUUAUUAAAAAUGUCAUACUUUACCAAAAUAUUUGAUUUAUGUAGAAAGAGGGAAGUGUAUUUGUAUCUAUGCAGUAAAUAAUGUCAUAAUGUAGAAAGCUGGAGUCAAGCUUGUUUGUAUAUAUUGUAAUUUAAAGAAUUACAUGGGAAGAGUUCGAAUGUAUACAAUAACUAAGUAAGCGUAAUUUAUUUUUUGAGUCAAAGUAAAAAAAUGUAUCUCCCUACAAAUUGGUCACAUGUAAGAGAUAAAUAAUAUUCAUAUUAAAAACCUGUUCUCAC